rnacentral:rRNA from 1 species
GGCCCGGACCCAGGCGCCCGCCGGAGGACCCAAACUCUUGUCUUUCAUGAGAAUCUUCUGAGUAACAUAAGCAAAUAAAUUAAAACUUUCAACAACGGAUCUCUUGGUUCUGGCAUCGAUGAAGAACGCAGCGAAAUGCGAUAAGUAAUGUGAAUUGCAGAAUUCCGUGAAUCAUCGAAUCUUUGAACGCACAUUGCGCCCGCCAGUAUUCUGGCGGGCAUGCCUGUUCGAGCGUCAUUUCAACCCUCAAGCCCCCGGGCUUGGUGUUGGGGAUCGGCCGCCCUCUCCGGCGCGCCGGCCCCGAAAUCUAGUGGCGGUCUCGCUGUAGCCUCCUCUGCGUAGUAGCACACCUCGCACCGGAACGCAGCCUGGCCACGCCGUUAAACCCCCCACUUCUGAAGGUUGACCUCGGAUCAGGUAGGAAUACCCGCUGAACUUAA